GCGCCGGUAGUGCAAUGGUUAGCACGGGCCCUCGGAAAGCGUGAAAUGCGGGUUCGAAUCUCGUCCGAGGUU